rnacentral:lncRNA from 1 species
AUUAAUUACAACACCAAGUUAUUACUUUUUGCUUGGCUAUAGAUGGUUAAGUUUAUAGUAGUAUAUGUCAAAUCAAAAGGGUGUUUUUGUAUGUUAAUUAAUUUUGGCUUUAUUUUUUAUUCUUGCAAGUUGAAUUUUUAAAAAUUAAUGUCCAAGUCAUUUUGGACAUUUGCUUGCUGGUUUAUCUAGUGGAGUACGUAUGUUUUUGCACGUCUUUAUUUAGUAGUAGUAGUUUGUAUUUUGGGUGCAGCUAUGACAUGGGAUCCGAUCGAUCACCG